rnacentral:rRNA from 1 species
CCUACGGGCGGCAGCAGUGAGGAAUAUUGGUCAAUGGGCGAGAGCCUGAACCAGCCAAGUCGCGUGAGGGAGUACUGCCCUAUGGGUUGUAAACCUCUUUUGUCGGGGAGCAAAAGCCGGACGUGUCCGGCUGUGAGAGUACCCGAAGAAAAAGCAUCGGCUAACUCCGUGCCAGCAGCCGCGGUAAUACGGAGGAUGCGAGCGUUAUCCGGAUUUAUUGGGUUUAAAGGGUGCGCAGGCGGAUUUUUAAGUCAGCGGUAAAAUCGGGGGGCUCAACCCCAUCCAGCCGUUGAAACUGGGGAUCUAGAGUGUGCGAGAGGUAUGCGGAAUGCGUGGUGUAGCGGUGAAAUGCAUAGAUAGCACGCAGAACCCCGAUUGCGAAGGCAGCAUACCGGUGCACAACUGACGCUCAGGCACGAAAGCGUGGGUAUCGAACAGGAUUAGAUACCCUAGUAGUC